AGGAUGAACGCUGGCGGCGUGCCUAACACAUGCAAGUCGAACGUGAGCUUGACUUCGGUCAGGUGAAAGUGGCGAACGGGUGAGUAACACGUUGGUGACCUGCCCCGAGGCGAGGGAUAACUCCUUGAAAGAGGAGCUAAUACCUCAGAUGUCAGGACUGUUAGAGGGUCCAGACUAAAGUUCAGGCGCCUCGGGAGGGCCUGCGGGCUAUCAGCUAGUUGGUGGGGUAAGAGCCUACCAAGGCGAAGACGGCUAGGGGGCGUGAGAGCGUG
rnacentral:rRNA from 1 species